rnacentral:rRNA from 1 species
CACGUAGGGGGCGAGCGUUGUCCGGAUUUAUUGGGCGUAAAGAGCGUGUAGGCGGCCAGGUAGGUCCGCUGUGAAAACUCGAGGCUCAACCUCGAGAUGUCGGCGGAAACCAUCUGGCUAGAGUCCGGAAGAGGAGAGUGGAAUUCCUGGUGUAGCGGUGAAAUGCGCAGAUAUCAGGAAGAACACCCGUGGCGAAGGCGGCUCUCUGGGACGGUACUGACGCUGAGACGCGAAAGCGUGGGGAGCGAACAGG